UGGAGCAUUUUGAACAAUCCUAACUUUUACUAAAAAAAGGAUUAUUUCAAGAAAAGGACAUAUAAUCUGAUCUUAAAACUUCCAUGCACACCAAAGGAUAUAAAAUUCUAUUAUAUCCAAACACAUGUAAUUUCAGGCUUGUUUUGUUUCAGUGGUUUCAAUCCUUUUAUAUAACAUUAACAUGAUAAAAUUAACACAAUACAAUUUUGACAUCUGCAAGCAACUCUUCGGAGCACCAGUAAUAUUACAUUCAGUGAUAAUAGGAUGGUAUAUACAUGUAUGGGCUUCGCUGAUGACAGAGAUAAUUCUGCUAACACUGUUAAUGCAACCCUUUGGUAGGUUUUGGAUGAUGUCUUCCAUUAUUGGGUGUAAACAAUUUGGACAUGUCAGUCAAGUGUCUGAGGACUGGCCGCUCAGUAGGAUCCCGAACAAACUGUGAGACUUGCAGACAAAUGACAUUUAAAACACCUGUUUUGAAAUCGAAAUACCUACCAGGUGACAAUUAUUAGUUAGCAAUUAAUAAUCAACUUCAGUUUCUAUGGUAACUCUUGUGUAAUAAAAUGAUUAUAAAUUGAAGCCAUUUACUUGGAACACCUCAGUUUGAACCCAGCAAUCUCCAGGGUUAGAACCCCAGAUUAAUGAUGUUACCAGGCAAAGGAGCUGAUCAUCUGGUUCACUCAGCUGAUCCCACUUGAACAGCCGGGAUAAUAACAUGGGAAAUAUUUCAGUGCGGCAACAAAGUGGGACGUGUUGCUAGGAGACACAUCACCAAGAUCGACAUGGCGACACUGAAGCCUUCUGGGAACAGGAGAGACAGUCCAACUUGACUGCCGAAUAUGAGCAGUGCUUGGAUCAAAAUCA